GCUUAACUUUGGAACUGCAUUUUUAACUACCGAACUAUAGUGGGUCAAAAGGAGGUGGAAUUCCGCGUGUAGCAGUGAAAUGCGUAGAUAUGCGGAGGAACACCGAUGGCGAAGGCGGCCUCCUGGGAUAACACUGACGCUCAUGCACGAAAGCGUGGGGAUCAAACAGGAUUAGAUACCCUGGUAGUCCACGCCCUAAACGAUGUCAACUAACUGUUGGGGCCUUCCGGCCUUGGUAGCGCACCUAACACGUGAAAUUGACCCCCUGGGGAGUACGGUCCCAAGAUUAUAACUCUCAGGAAUUGACGGGGACCCCCACAAACGGUGGAUGAUGUGGAUUAAUUCUAUGCACCGCGAAAAACCUUACCUACCCUUGACGUGUCUGGAAUUCCGAAUAGAUUUGGAAGUGUUCCCUUCAGAACCCGAACACACGUGCUGCGUGGGUGUCGCCACCUCUCGUCGCGAGAUGUUGGGUUAAAUCCCCCAACGAGCGCAACCCUUGUCAUUAGAUGCUACGACAGGGCACUCUAAUGACACUGCCGGUGACAAACCGGAAGAAGGUGGGGAGGACGUCUGGUCCUCAUGGCCCUUAUGGGUAGGGCUUCACACGUCAUACAAUGGACGGGACAUAA
rnacentral:rRNA from 1 species